GUGCUUGCUUUGGCAGCACAUAUGCUAAAAUUGGAACGAUACAGAGAUUAGCAUGGCCCCUGCGCAAGGACGGCACGAAAGUGUCUGGGUUUAUGGAUACAUAC